rnacentral:rRNA from 1 species
GUCUACGGCCAUGCCACCCUGAACAUGUCUGAUCUCGGAAGCUAAGCAGGUUCGGGUCUGGUUAGUACUUGGAUGGGAGACCAACUAGGAAGACUGGGUGCUGCAGACA